GCGAUAAGUAGUGUGAAUUGCAGAAUUCAGUGAAUCAUCGAAUCUUUGAACGCACAUUGCGCCCCUUGGUAUUCCAUGGGGCAUGCCUGUUCGAGCGUCAUUUGUACCCUCAAGCUCUGCUUGGUGUUGGGUGUUUGUCCCGUCUCCGCGCGUGGACUCGCCCCAAAGUGAUUGGCAGCCGGCGUACUGGUCCCGGAGCGCAGCACAUGUCGCGCAAACGAGUGCCUUGGUACGGUGGCGUCCAUAAGCCCCUCUCUCACGCUCUUGACCUCGGAUCAGGUAGGGAUACCCGCUGAACUUAAGC
rnacentral:misc_RNA from 1 species